UACGGAGGGUGCGAGCGUUGUCCGGAAUCACUGGGCGUAAAGGGCGCGUAGGCGGCUGGGGAAGUCGGCGGUGAAAGCCCGGAGCUCAACUCCGGGUCGGCCGUCGAGACUCCUCGGCUCGAGCUCACUAGAGGCAGAUGGAAUUCCGGGUGUAGCGGUGGAAUGCGUAGAGAUCCGGAAGAACACCGGUGGCGAAGGCGGCAUCCUGGACCGACAUUGACGCUGAACGGCGAAAGCUAGGGGAGCAAACGGG
rnacentral:rRNA from 1 species